ensembl:snRNA U6 U6 spliceosomal RNA
GUGAUCACUUUGGCACACAUGUUCUAAAAUUAGAACUAUACAGAGAAGAUUAGCAUGACCCCUGUGCACACAUGACAUGCAAAUUCAUGAAGCAUUCCAUAUUUUC